UAGUCCACGCCGUAAACGAUGGUCACUCGCUGUUGGCGAUAUAAUGUCAGUGGCUGAGCGAAAGCAUUAAGUGACCCACCUGGGGAGUACGUUCGCAAGAAUGAAACUCAAAGGAAUUGACGGGGGGCCCGCACAAGCGGUGGAGCAUGUGGUUUAAUUCGAUGAUACGCGAGGAACCUUACCAGGGCUUAAAUGUAGAAUGACAUCCCGAGAAAUCGGGACUUCUUCGGACAAUCUACAAGGUGCUGCAUGGUUGUCGUCAGCUCGUGCUGUGAAGUGUCGGGUUAAGUCCCAUAACGAGCGCAACCCCUAUUUUCAGUUGCCAGCGAGUAAUGUCGGGGACUCUGGAAAAACUGCCACCGUAAGGUGAGAGGAAGGUGGGGAUGACGUCAAAUCAUCACGGGCCCUUACGUCCUGGGGCUACACACGUGCUACAAUGGCCGGUACAGAGGGGCAGCCA
rnacentral:rRNA from 1 species